GUCAUAUCAAGCAAGGUAACUUAUAACCAAAAACUAUGAAAUAAAAUACAAAAAUAUCAUAACAAAAUGCAUUUAAGUCAUUUCAGUAUACACGAAUUAUUUAGUUAAGUAUAAUUGAUAAAUUCUUGGUAUAUGUUUGAGUACCAAGGAGAGAAUAUAUUUAAAACAUGGGAUUGGUAAACAGUAAGGAUUUUACGUCAAGAAGAAAGGUAGAUGAGGCUACCAGUAACACCAGUUUAUCCAAGCUACGCUACGUGAUAACAGAAAAACCAAAAUGGAAAGUUUUCAAAAAGAAAGAGGUAGUGCCUUUACCACAGUAUCGUCCUGUGAAGGGAUGUCCUUGUGGCAACGCUGGACCUUGUAAGCAAAAAGUGACACCGAGAGGAGUUACCAUACAUUAUCCUCAGAAAAAGAAAAAAUUCUGCGCCUUUGGCACGGAUCGACGGUACAAGCCACCUAAAACCCAAAAGAGUUACUUCACUAGAUUAGCGUGGAAGUCCCUUUCCAGCGCUUUACCAUUCCAAACAAGAAUCCAGGCGAAUAUAAACUUAAGUCUACCAGCGUUGCCUCUGUACAAAGUGAGCCAUGCGUUUAAAGCAAUAAAGUCCAGUUUGCCUUCUCUAAAUAAUAAGCUAAGCAAUGCUAUGAAGAGCAUUAAAUCUUUGAAGUCAAUUAAGAAGAAGCCUCGACGCAGUUUGAGCAAGGAAUUCAUGUUCAUGCCUUUUCAAUUUCAAAAAUAAGCCCAAAAACUGACAAUAAAGUAAAAGUAAUUCGGCGUAAGAGAUUUCCUACCUUUAGACUGGACAAGAUUUCAUGUUAUUCGCCAUUUAGCAGAACCGUCGCGCCCCGGCCUGGGGGUACCGUUGUGAAUUGAAAUAGUCGUUUUGAAAUUAUACGAGUAGGUAUGUCAAGUUACAAUAUUAUCAUGUAUAUUAAUAAAAAUAUAUAAGUUACUUUAUA